GGAGGGGUGGCAGAGUGGACGAAUGCGGCGGUCUUGAAAACCGUUUGGGUCCUUGCGGCCCACCUGGGUUCGAAUCCCAGCUCCUCCG
rnacentral:tRNA from 1 species